GACGAACGCUGGCGGCGGGCCUAAUACAUGCAAGUAGGACGCAGUUGCGAACGGGUGAGUAACGCGUAGGUAACUGCCUAGUAGAGGGGGAUAACUAUUGGAAACGAUAGCUAAUACCGCAUACUAGUAGAUGGACCUGCGUUGUAUUAGCUAGUAGGUAGGGUAAUGGCCUACCUAGGCGCCGAUACAUAGCCGACUUUGGAAGGUGGACGGCCACCCUGGGACGUGGACACGGCCCAGAAUCCUACGGGAAGCAACCAUAGGGGAUUUUUGGAAAUGGGGGGAAACCUUACCGCAGAACGGCGCGUGAGUGAAGGAAGGUUUCGGGUCGGAAAACUCUGUUGUUAAGGGAGCGUUACUUAACCAGAAAGGACCGGCUAACUACGUGCCAGCAGCCGCGGUAAUUC
rnacentral:rRNA from 1 species